CAGCAUGGCGGUAGGAGUUGCUCCUUACAGUUUUGGUUUGAAAAGUUUGAUUCCUUGAUUUAACCCACCACCAGUACAACAACCAUCACUCUUUCAUUCACCAAAAAUUGGGUCACCAAAAGACAAGGCCCUCCACAGGAUUGAGUGACAACAUCAUAAGCUUCAAAGGAAAUGCAAACAUUUGUUUGAAAAACCGGUAAAAUCCUAAGUUGUUCCAGGCCAUCUGGAUGUAUACGUGCAAGUCACAGGGGUUAUGAUGGCUUAGCUUGGGCUCAGAGGCCUGACACCGACAAGACAUGUCAGGCAAUCCUCAGGUGAUAGGCAGUUGUUAAACUGUCUCUUUAAAAUAAUAAUUGGUCACAGCCAAUGCCAGGGAAAGGCACUCUCCCAAGAGAUAAACACCUGAAGCUGGUGAUCAGUGACUUCCUGAUAUGACCUCAGGAGUGGAGCGAGUGGUCUCACGCAUGCACACUAAGAGGCAAAAUGGUGGAGUUUUACUGGUAUAUGACCUGCCUCUAAGAAUACUCCACCGGUAAAGGAAAAACGCCUCAAGUGAGCAUGCAUAGAACUUCAGUAAACACACUGUGCACAUGGCCCCUCCAAAGUGCUGGCAGACCACUCAGCAUGCGGACAGCCUACCCCAAGGGAAGAAUCGGGCAAGAAGAGACACAGACACCAGAAGAAUGCCAACAUAUAAAAGCCCAAGUCAAAGGUCUAACUGCACACUCAAGUCACCCACUUGGUCCUCUUCCAAGUGUACUUUACCUCCUUUUGUUCCUGCUCUAAAACUUUUUAAUAAACUUUCACUCCUGCUCUAAAAAUGGGCUCAGCUUCUUACUCUGCCUUUUGUUCCCUUGGUUGAAUCAUUUCUUCUGAAGAGGUAAGAAUUGAAGUUGCUGCAGACCCUUAUGAAUCAUUGCUGC
rnacentral:lncRNA from 10 species